rnacentral:rRNA from 1 species
GCCAUGCCGCGUGCAGGAUGACGGUCCUAUGGAUUGUAAACUGCUUUUGUACGAGAAGAAACACUGCUUCGUGAAGCAGCUUGACGGUAUCGUAAGAAUAAGGAUCGGCUAACUCCGUGCCAGCAGCCGCGGUAAUACGGAGGAUCCAAGCGUUAUCCGGAAUCAUUGGGUUUAAAGGGUCCGUAGGCGGUUUAGUAAGUCAGUGGUGAAAGCCCAUCGCUCAACGGUGGAACGGCCAUUGAUACUGCUAGACUUGAAUUAUUAGGAAGUAACUAGAAUAUGUAGUGUAGCGGUGAAAUGCUUAGAGAUUACAUGGAAUACCAAUUGCGAAGGCAGGUUACUACUAAUUGAUUGACGCUGAUGGACGAAAGCGUGGGUAGCGAACAGGAUUAGAUACCCUGGUAGUCCACGCCGUAAACGAUGGAUACUAGCUGUUGGGAGCAAUUUCAGUGGCUAAGCGAAAGUGAUAAGUAUCCCACCUGGGGAGUACGUUCGCAAGAAUGAAACUCAAAGGAAUUGACGGGGGCCCGCACAAGCGGUGGAGCAUGUGGUUUAAUUCGAUGAUACGCGAGGAACCUUACCAAGGCUUAAAUGUAGAUUGACCGGUUUGGAAACAGACUUUUC